AGAGUUUGAUCCUGGCUCAGAUUGAACGCUGGCGGCAUGCUUUACACAUGCAAGUCGAACGGCAGCACAGGGAGCUUGCUCCCGGGUGGCGAGUGGCGCACGGGUGAGUAAUACAUCGGAACGUGUCCUGUUGUGGGGGAUAACUGCUCGAAAGGGUGGCUAAUACCGCAUGAGACCUGAGGGUGAAAGCGGGGGAUCGCAAGACCUCGCGCAAUUGGAGCGGCCGAUGCCCGAUUAGCUAGUUGGUGAGGUAAAGGCUCACCAAGGCGACGAUCAGUAGCUGGUCUGAGAGGACGACCAGCCACACUGGGACUGAGACACGGCCCAGACUCCUACGGGAGGGCAGCA
rnacentral:rRNA from 1 species